rnacentral:rRNA from 1 species
UACGGGGGGUGCGAGCGUUGUCCGGAAUCACUGGGCGUAAAGGGCGCGUAGGUGGCUUUGUAAGUUUGCGGUGAAAGCCCGGGGCUCAACCCCGGGUCUGCCGUGGAUACUGCAAGGCUUGAGUACUGUAGAGGCAGGUAGAAUAUCGGGUGUAGCGGUGGAAUGCGUAGAGAUCCGAUAGAAGACCGGUGGCGAAGGCGGCCUGCUGGGCAGUAAAUGACACUGAGGCGCGACAGCGUGGGGAGCAAACAGG